GAUGAACGCUAGCGGCAGGCUUAAUACAUGCAAGUCGUGGGGCAGCAUGAGUGUAGCAAUACCUUUGAUGGCGACCGGCAAACGGCUGCGGAACACUUACAGAACCCUCCUUCACGCGGGGCAUAGCCCAGAUAAAUUUGGAUUAUUACCCCAUAAAAUAAUGAAGAGGCAUCUCUUUGUUAUUAAAGCUUUAUCACUUGAAGAUGGCUGUGCGGCUGAUUAGGUAGUGGGCGGGGUAACGGCCCACCAAGCCUGCGAUCAGUACAUGGGGUGAGAGAACGACCAGUCACACGGGCACUGAGACACGGGCACGACUCCUACGGGAGGCAGCAGUAAGGAAUAUUGGUCAAUGGACGCAAGUCUGAACCAGCCAUGCCGCGUGGAGGAUGAAGGUCCUCUGGAUUGUAAACUUCUUUUAUAUGGGACGAAAAAAGGCUUUUCUAAGUCGUCUGACGGUACCAUAUGAAUAAGCACCGGCUAACUCCGUGCCAGCCGCCGCGGUAAGAC
rnacentral:rRNA from 1 species